rnacentral:lncRNA from 1 species
UUUUUUUUUCCUGCUGGGGAUAACCUUUAUCUGAAUCUCAUUAUUUAUUUCUCUCCAUAAAUAUCAAACAGCCAAGAGUAUUAAUUUGAUCACCCAAUGUGCAUUUCAUCAUAUUUAUUUAUUUGUAGUACUGUCUACAAAAUAACUUUAUAGAAAACAUAAAUAUGCGGUAGCUUAACAUUUGGUUGUGACCAUUAGAAGAACCAGUAGCAGUAGUUUCAUUCUCACGUGUUGUCCAGGGGUUAAGAGCAGAAGGAGAAAGGGGAAUCUGGCAGCCAAUUGGUACAUUUAGGAAAUGGCUAAUGGCUGCCCCAAUGUCUUUUGAGGAGACCCUGGGAAUUACAACAGAAUGCUAAUAUAUGACAUCUGUAUGAAGCUAUAUCAUGGUGUCAAUGUGCAAAAAUUGCAGGGAUCCAUUUAAGGUACCAUUUUCAAAUACAAUCUCUAGAAUUCCCAUUUGUCUUCAGAUUGCUCAUAACAAUGGCUUUCUAAAAACAGUUGCUGAUUUACGUACUUAAAAUUAUACUCUAACAGCCUGACUCACCAAAUAUUGAGAAUUGAAAAUAACAUUCUUUCAAGGUAAAGCACGAUUUCCUUCACUUAGAGGCAAAGAAAGAGACUGAUAAAUUGUCCUGAUCACUCGUUGAUAAGUGGCCGUGCCAAGGCCUGGGCCUCAGUCUCUGACAUGAGAUCUUUUUCCAGUCAGACCUACUAAGUCUGUCAGGUAACCUAGAUGAGUAGAGUUCUUGAGUAUAAAACCAGAGAGAGCCACUGGAGUACAAGUUCCUGUGUGAAGGGGCAGAAGACAACAAGCUCCAGCCUACGGUCCAAGGGGAACAUUGGCAGUAUUGCCAGACCUUGUGAUCUUUCAAUAAAGCUAGAAAUCUUAACUUUUCAAUGGAAUCUCUAUAUUUUGUAGGUUGGCAAUUAAUUCAGAGUGUUUGUUCAUUGAACAAUACUUGUCUGCUGUCAGAUCUGACCAUAGGCCACCAGUUUUCUGGCGUUGGGUGUCAAAUCGUGGAGCAACAGAUCUAGACUCUCCUAGAGAAAGACAGUGUCUAGGAUUGAAAGGACCAAGAGUCCUGUCCCAGUGUUCCUGAAAUGCAUAAACUCUGGAGUUUAAUGUAGUCAUAAGGAGAUUGAGUCCAAAUCCUGGCUCAUUACCAGCCAGGUGAUCUAGGGCAAGCUACUCUCUGUACUAUAAUUUCCUCACUUUAAAAAUGAGUAUAGGCGUUCCUGCUGUGGUGCAGCAGGCUAAGGAUCUGGCAUUGUCUCGGGCAGCAUGGGUUCAGUCCCCAGCACAGUGUAGUGGGUUUAGGAUCCAGUGUUGCUGCAGCUGUGGUAUAAGUCACAGCUGCAGCUCAGAUUAGAUCCCUGGCCUAGGAACUUCCUUAUGCCAUGGGUUUGGCCAAAAAAGAAAAUAAAAAUUAAUAAAUAAAAAUGAGUAUAAUACCUGACCUACCUCAGAGAGUUGUGAGGAUGAGUUAAUAUAUUAGAGCAGGAUCUGGUACAGGGUGAGUCUAUGUAGCUGGCAUUACAGUUGGCUUUCCCUAUCAACAGAUGCAGAACCCAUAGAUCAGGAUGACUGACUAAGGGACUUGAAAAUCUACAGAUUUGGUAUAUCCUCUGGGGGUCCUGGAAUCCCCUGUGGAUAUCAAGUGACAACCACAUUUUUUUUUUUUUUUUUUGCUUUUUAGGGCCGCACCAGCGGCACAUGGAGGUUCCCUGGCUAGGGGUCUAAUUGGAGAUACAGCUGCCGGCCUGUGCCACAGCCACAGCAAUGCAGGAUCUGAGCUGUGUCUGCAACCUACACUGCAGCUCAUGGAAAUGCCAGAUCCUUAACCCACUGAUCGAGGACAGGGAUCAAACCGGCGGCAACCUCAUGGUUCCUAGUCAGAUUCUUUUCCGUUGAGCCACAAUGGGAACUCCGACCCAUAUUUUUGUUUAAUUUCGAGGAAAAGGAAGGAGCCCUGCAAAUGACUGAGUGGAUUUCCAAUCAUCCUGGUUAGGUGGAGGUGCUGAGUCAAAUUUAAUUUGAUGUAAAAAACAAAAGAAAGAAAUGUGAUUCGUUGUAUCUGAGUGAGAAAGAGCAAAUUCAUACGGUUACUUUAAUGCUGUUGACAUAUUUCAUCUCCAUCAUGAUAUUUCUCUUCACAUCCUGUGUCAGACGUACAAUUUUCAAUCCUUCCUUUAAUGCCUUAGUACCAGAUUCCUCAAAGUGACUCAUAAAAAGGAUAGACCUUGUCUCAUUUCAAACACGGUUAUGCUUCAAACUCCUCUUUGAGAAAUGUUCGGUGACAAGUCUCUAUUGAAAGCAAAGGGAAUUGAAGAAAGGGUAGGAAAAAUUGCGUAGACUAAAACCACCUUUCGGCUAAGAAAAGUUUUUUUAUCUUUUAAAAUGGUCCAUCUCUCUUAGUAUAUUGGGCAUAUGACCCUUCUUCUGUCUUUCACAUAUAUCCAAAAAAAUUACAGUGUUUUUGCACAUUUAUACACAUGAUACAUAUCAUAAACUAUGCUUUUGAUGUUAUCUCUUUAGUCAGACUUAACUUGAUUUUAAAGAAAUUACACCAUGUAGAGAAUCCGCAGCCUUAAUCUUUCAAAACACUUUUGGUCUUAAAAAUAAAAAAAAAAAAAACGAAAAACUUUUCUUUUGGGAGUGACAUAACACUUUUUUUUUCUAUACAUUUAUCGCUCAAAAGGGUACACGGUCUUCCCUCUGUCUUAAGCUACUACCCACAAGAAAAUGAACCCCAAACGCAUUCUUUGUCUAAUUUAAAUGUCACAUUUGCAACACAGCAUUAUAUGUGUAUAAAUGCACAGAUAACAUUUUUAAUAUUAAACAUUCCUAAUUACUGCACUAAUUGCAAAUCCAGAGAGUUUAUUUCAUCUCAGUGAUGGAAAAAAUGGAAUGGCCCCUGCCUUUCUGCUAAUCAAGACUGCUAAUUCAUUUUUACCAAGUGUAGGGGAAAAGGAGGCUUGAGCACACAUAAAAUGUACCAUUUUUCCUCAGGUUGACUUUGAAUAGUACAGCCAUUUCAUUCUUCCCAGUGGAUGGGUAUUUUUCUUAGUAGGAGACCUAAAUUGAAUUUCAAUCGUUGAUGUAAUCUCUAGGCAUAAAUGUGCAAAAGGCUGUUUCUAUGAAGAAUGUAAUUUCUGAAACUAUGGAGAUUAUUUCUCACUGGCUCUACCAUCUCCUGGUUUGGAGCACAGAAUCAGGCUGAUAGUGCUGGAUCCAAGGUACUUGUUAACAUAGGAACUAAGACACGUUUACUUGAUUCCUUGGCUUUCCAUGAAAACAACAGCAAGUAAUCACCUCCAUAAUUGUUUUCUACACACUCAGAAGUUAGUCACAACUAAAAUGUUAUUGGAGAUAUAUUAUCCUGCUAAAGUUGGGGACUCAAAAACAGCCAGACCAGGAGAAGCCCCCAAACCAAAGUACCACACUCCCAAAGAAGCUCCUAAAAUAGGCGAUCCCUUGGUGGGCUGCACUUACAAGCCAAUCUUGGCGACUAGCCCAGUUUUACCCACCUCUGGCCAGGGGUGUGUGCCCUGCUCAGCAGGCCAGGGAGGUUUAGUGCCAGCAGGACUCAAAACCAAGCUUCCUGGUUAUGACAAAGGUCAUGAUUCUUGCAGAUAAGGCCUGCUGCUUUCAUGGAUAAAUACACUUCCUAUUUGUAUAACAGCACUUAAACUGAUUCAAGCCUUUUAGGAGAGUAAUCUAUAAUCUCAUGUUGCAAGAGCCUUCCCUUGACCCAGUAAUUCCACUUAAGAAAAUAAUCCUACAUUUCUGCAAAGCUCACUAAAAGUCAAUAGUUCAACUCGUAUGUACUGUAGUGAAUGCCAGUGCAUCAUAAAUCAGACAAGGUGUUGGAAAGAAUAAAACCUUUGCUUGACCUUGGGGAAUUUACAGUUGACUGGCAACUUCACAUUUAUCGUUUAUUGAAUCCUACCGUGUACCAGGUACUCCAGUAGGCAUUUUAUAUGUUUUCUCACUUAAUCAUUAUAACCUAUACAGAAAAGUAGUAUCACUCACAUCUGACGCUAAGGUGGUUGAGUAACUUGCCCUGAGUUAUAGAGCCAAGUAACACUUCUAAAAUUCAGACCCAGACCUAAAAUCUUCCAAUGUUGUCCUUUACUCAUUAAAUUUUGCUGCAUUAUAAUUUAAAACAAUAGUAACAACAAUCAACAUAUCAACAACCAUCAAAGGUAAACAAUAGAAGGAUGAAUAAAUAAAUUAAUAUUAGGUUGGAUCUGCAGUCAUUAAAAGUGAUGUCUAACUAUUACAACAUGGAAAAUGUUUAUAUAUAAUUAUAAUAAUAAAAGCAGGGUGUAAAUUAGUAUAUGCAAAAUGAUUUAAACUAUGUUUAAGCACACGCAGACACACACACACAUACAAAUUAGAAGGAAAAACACCAUUUUUUUUUUUCUUUUUUCUUUAUUUGGCUGCAUCUGUGGCAUGCGGAAGUUCCCAGGCCAGGGAUCAAACACUCACCACGGCAGUGACCCAAGCCACUGCAAUGGCAAUGCCAGAUCUUUAACCUGUUGAGCCAAAAGAGAAUUCCAAAAUAUCCAUUUUUUUAAGGAGUUCCUGUCGUGGCUCAGCGGUAGCAAACCUGACUAGUGUCCAUGAGGACAUGGGUUUGGUCCCUGGCCACGCUCAGUAGGUUAAGGAUCCAGCAUUGCCAUGAGCUCUGGUGUAGGUCACAGACAUGGCUCAGAUCCAUCUUGCUGUGGCUGUGGUGUAGGCCAGCAGCUGUGGCUUGCAUUCAGUCCCUAGCCUGGGAACUUCUAUAUGC